GAUGAAGAACGUAGCGAAAUGCGAUAAGUAAUGUGAAUUGCAGAAUUCAGUGAAUCAUCGAAUCUUUGAACGCACCUUGCGCUCCUUGGUAUUCCGAGGAGCAUGCCUGUUUGAGUGUCAUUAAUAUUAUCAACCUUUUGGGUUGGAUUUGGGUUUGCUGGCCUCUAUCAGGUCAGCUCCCCUUAAAUGCAUUAGCAGACAACAUUUUGCCAAAUGUUCAUUGGUGUGAUAAUUAUCUACGCUAUUGACAUGAAGCAAAGGUUCAGCUUCUAACUGUCCAUUGACUUGGACAACUUUAUUAAUGUGACCUCAAAUCAGGUAGGACUACCCGCUGAACUUAAGCAUAUCAUAAGCGGAGGA
rnacentral:misc_RNA from 1 species